AUUGAACGCUGGCGGCAGGCCUAACACAUGCAAGUCGAACGAGUGGCGGAAGGGUGAGUAAUGUCUGGGAAAAUGCCUGAGGGAGGGGGAUAACUACUGGAAACGGUCGCUUAUACCGCAUAACAUCAGAGGCGCCCAGAGGGGAUGAGCUAGUUGGUGGGGUAACGGCACACCAAGGCGACGAGCCCUAGCUGGUAUGAGAGGAGGACCAGCCACACUGGGACUGAGACACGGUCCAGACUCCUCCGGGAGGCAGCAGUGGGGAAUAUUGCACAAUGGGCGCAAGCCUGAUGCAGCCAUGCCGCGUGUAUGAAGAAGGCCUUCGGGUUGUAAAGUACUUUCAGCGGGGAGGCGUUACCCGCAGAAGAAGCACCGGCUAACUCCGUGCCAGCAGCCGCGGUAAUUC
rnacentral:rRNA from 1 species